UUUGCUGUAAGACUAUGUAAUAACACAUAAAGCUUCCAGAAGGAUAAUCUCCAUUGUCUUUACCAUAUGUAGAUGACCUGUCCAUUACAGCCUCCAUGCUGGUAGUUGUAGAGGAUGAUGUAGCUGUCUCCCCCAUAGAAUCGCUCAAAAGUGGAGGGCUCCACAGGCACCUUGUCAGCUCCCUCAAUACGCCAGAUCUACGGAGGUUAACAGGUAAACACAGUUCUUACUAGUAGUUGUCCAUGAAUGGAAAAAAUGGUAACACCCCUUGCAGUUCUUUUCUCAAAGGCUUGUUUGUGAGAUUGACACUUUUUUGGUGGGUGUGCAGGCCCACAGUUGUAACCCUUAGGGGCUGUAAGUAUCCCUUUACUGAGGACACAUAAAUAUUGUGUUUCAAGGUUUAGGGUAGUUAAGGUUAACUACCAUCGUACUACAUGGUGUUUACUUAGGAAACCCCAGUAUCCCCGGCAAAAAAAAAAGUCCUUACCUGCUUGUCUCCAUUCCCCUCGUCCACCAUCCCAUGCUGAGCCGCCAUGGCGUCCGAGUGAUGGAGAGUAGAGGCAUCGAAGGGCACCUUCUUGAUCUUGGCGAUUUUGUUGGACACGUAGGCGGUUCCCAACCCCACUGUAUGGUCCGCGUCACGCCAGAUUUUGAAGAACUGCUUGAACAGAGGGGUCUCCCCAUUCUCAGCUUCCUAUUGGACACGUCUGUAUUUGUCAUCUGCAUUUGCCUCUGGCAAAUCGGGUUUGGGUCCAAGAAUCUGGAACGAGACCACAAGUCAGGCGUCUCACAGCAAAUUAUCACCAUUAUGUUAAAAGGUAACCAACUAUAGAUGUUUAUUGGAAACAUAAGCAGUUGCAUGACAUGAAGUGUAUAGAAAUUAACAAUUUUUUCCGUCCCUUUCUCCUCAUUGAAAGACUCACCUCCAGCAUCUUCUCACAUUCUGCCCCCUCGUCACAUAUGUACAACUCAGCCCGCCCACAUCGUUCAUUGUCACGGAUAUCCUUUGACACCUGAGUGGCCUUCAGCUUCUCAAAGUUAUUGGCCUUGGAACCACACCAUUGAUAAACCUCCUG
rnacentral:lncRNA from 1 species